AUUGAACGCUGGCGGCAUGCCUUACACAUGCAAGUCGAACGGCAGCACGGGUGCUUGCACCUGGUGGCGAGUGGCGAACGGGUGAGUAAUACAUCGGAACGUACCUUAUUGUGGGGGAUAACGCAGCGAAAGUUGCGCUAAUACCGCAUACGCCCUGAGGGGGAAAGCGGGGGACCGUAAGGCCUCGCGCGAUUAGAGCGGCCGAUGUCUGAUUAGCUUGUUGGUGAGGUAAAAGCUCACCAAGGCGAUGAUCAGUAGCUGGUCUGAGAGGACGAUCAGCCAAACUGGGACGGAGACACGGCCCAGACUCCUACGGGAGGCAGCAGUGGGGAAUUUUGGACAAUGGGGGCAACCCUGAUCCAGCAAUGCCGCGUGAGUGAAGAAGGCCUUCGGGUUGUAAAGCUCUUUUGUCAGGGAAGAAACACCGGCUCUAACACAGUCCGGGAAUGACGGUACCUGAAGAAUAAGCACCGGCUAACUACGUGCCAGCAGCCGCCGUAA
rnacentral:rRNA from 1 species